UACGUAGGCGGUUAUUCAAGUCAGAGGUGAAAGCCUGGAGCUCAACUCCAGAACUGCCUUUGAAACUAGAUAGCUAGAAUCUUGGAGAGGUUAGUGGAAUUCCGAGUGUAGAGGUGAAAUUCGUAGAUAUUCGGAAGAACACCAGUGGCGAAGGCGACUAACUGGACAAGUAUUGACGCUGAGGUACGAAAGCGUGGGGAGCAAACAGGAUUAGAUACCCUGGUAGUCCACGCCGUAAACGAUGAUAACUAGCUGUUCGGGCUCUACGAGCUUGAGUGGCGCAGCUAACGCAUUAAGUUAUCCGCCUGGGGAGUACGGUCGCAAGAUUAAA
rnacentral:rRNA from 1 species